ACGAACGCUGGCGGCGUGCUUAACACAUGCAAGUCGCACGGAAAGGCCCUGCUUUUGUGGGGUGCUCGAGUGGCGAACGGGUGAGUAACACGUGAGUAACCUGCCCUUGACUUUGGGAUAACUUCAGGAAACUGGGGCUAAUACCGGAUAGGAGCUCCUGCUGCAUGGUGGGGGUUGGAAAGUUUCGGCGGUUGGGGAUGGACUCGCGGCUUAUCAGCUUGUUGGUGGGGUAGUGGCUUACCAAGGCUUUGACGGGUAGCCGGCCUGAGAGGGUGACCGGCCACAUUGGGACUGAGAUACGGCCCAGACUCCUACGGGAGGCAACAGUGGGGAAUAUUGCACAAUGGGCGGAAGCCUGAUGCAGCAACGCCGCGUGCGGGAUGACGGCCUUCGGGUUGUAAACCGCUUUCGCCUGUGACGAAGCGUGAGUGACGGUAAUGGGUAAAGAAGCACCGGCUAACUACGU
rnacentral:rRNA from 1 species